CCCCUUGCCCAAUGCCCCCGAUCCCCACGGCCGCCGCACGGUCUCGCUCCUCCUUCCCUCCCGCCGCACCCUCUCCUUGCUCGCAGUCGCCUCCUUCCCACCUUCGCCCGAGCUUCGCCUUCCUCACCCGCCUUCUCCUCCUUGCCAUCGGCGGAAGCAGUGAGCAUAGGGACAACGGCAAUGGCUGGACGCGAUGAGCUUGCCUCUGGUGGCGCCAGGAACCUGCACGCAAAGGGCGACCCCAUGGAUCCGUUCCUGAAGGAGAGAGAAGAUGCGGAGGGAGGAUUGAAGGACAGGGGGAGGUAGGCGUGCUGGGACGCGGUGGUCUCGCCGGCGAUGACAGGGCUGACCGGCCGGAGUUGGAUCGAGAUCCCGGCUGGCACGGCUCAGCUCCAACUCCCUCUUCCACCUCUCCGCUCCCCGACACUCAAAUCUGGCUCUUCUGCACACAUCAGUAGCUAUGGAAAGAAAGCUUGUAGUGGAGUGGGUUCCUUUGUAUGAUCUUGGAAGAUGAUGUCCUAUGAAGCCCAUUAGAAAGCAUGGCAACGGCUUAAGGUUAGCGCAUUUUGAGAAGCCAACAGAUCGCCACCUACUUCCUUAGGCUGACAAUCACCUGCGGGAUAAAGUGCGAUGUUUUGCCUGAGACAGGAUCAAGGACUGGGCCAACGUGGUCGUCGCGCACGGACCAGUGUAGCCCAUUGGCACUGGUAAAGUUGUAUCGGCGGCUCAGGCACAUGAAGACAAGGUUGCUCAUCAGUUGGAUGUGGAGUUGCUUCUGAGCUAGGACUCUCCCAUGAUCACUACAUAGAAAAAGAUACAUCCAGUUUGGUUUCUAAUGUCUGUUUUGGCCUAAGCAAAAAAGGCGUUGCUGAAGCUGGAGUCAUGAUGGCGUUAGUAAUCUUGGUGAUGCUUCUUAUACGGAAAACCAACUUGUUUUUGAUUAUCCUAUGGGUUUUUUAUCCAGAUGUUGCAUAUAGGAGUAUUGUGGAGCUAAUAAUAUUUGAAUCUGAGCUAGCAUACUAUUUCAAUUUGAGUUCAAAAAUUAUAAACCUUAGUAUUUGUUUUCAGUUAUCGAUCUUCUUCCCUUCUCCUUUUUUGGGUCACUUUUGAUAGCUUCUUUCAUUCUGUACAUUUUAGUUGCUGCCUCAAGCCUUGGCUCUUUUUCUAGACUAGGCCUCAAUUUAUGGGAAAAUGCAGUCUUCAUUUACUGAGUUAUAUUUUUGUCUUGGUUUCUUCCAGGUCCCUCGUACAGUGGUUCAGAAAAAAAAACCUAUCCAAUGGAGAUGAUGCAUGAGGAGAGGCAAAGUCAUGAUCCAUAAAGCCCUAUGUUAUUCUUUUUCUCACUGUGAUUUUACUUUUUAUGGUUGGAU